CCUUCGGGAACUCAGACACAGGUGCUGCAUGGCUGUCGUCAGACUAGCAAAGUGAGAUGUUGGGUUAAGUCCCGUAACGAGCGCAACCCUUGUCCUUAGUUACCAGCACGUUAUGGUGGGCACUCUAAGGAGACUGCCGGUGACAAACCGGAGGAAGGUGGGGAUGACGUCAAGUCAUCAUGGCCCUUACGGCCAGGGCUACACACGUGCUACAAUGGUCGGUACAGAGGGUUGCCAAGCCGCGAGGGGGAGCUAAUCUCACAAAACCGAUCGUAGUCCGGAUCGCAGUCUGCAACUCGACUGCGUGAAGUCGGAAUCGCUAGUAAUCGUGAAUCAGAAUGUCACGGUGAAUACGUUCCCGGGCCUUG
rnacentral:rRNA from 1 species